AUUGAACGCUGGCGGCAGGCCUAACACAUGCAAGUCGAACGAGGGGCGGACGGGUGAGUAGUGUCUGGGACACUGCCCGAGGGAGGGGGAUCACUACUGGACACGGUAGCUAAUACCGCAUACCCUCAGAUGUGCCAAUAUGGGUUUAGCUAGUAGGUGGGGUAACGGCUCACCUAGGCGACGAGCCCUAGCUGGUCUGAGAGGAUGACCAGCCACACUGGAACUGAGACACGGUCCAGACUCCUACGGGAGGCAGCAGUGGGGAAUAUUGCACAAUGGGCGCAAGCCUGAUGCAGCCAUGCCGCGUGUAUGAAGAAGGCCUUAGGGUUGUAAAGUACUUUCAGCGAGGAGGCGUUACUCGCAGAAGAAGCACCGGCUAACUCCGUGCCAGCCGCCGCGGUAAUAC
rnacentral:rRNA from 1 species